AUUUCAUCCCAAUGACAACAGGGGAAUUACACUGAAGGUUUUUGAGUAGAGGAAUGAAAUGGUCAGACAAUUGAUCUGGCGGCUCUGGGGUUGAUGGUUGGAAGAAAGGAGAACCUGGAAGAAGAGAAAUCACAAAGGUACCAUGUUGGAUGCAAAGACAAAAAGGAAACAGUCUCUGCCCUCAGACACUUGCAUUCUAAUGAAGAAGAAAACAAGUACAAAGGCAACCAUGCUCUAUCCCUGAUCUUCCUCUCUUCCACAUCUCCCAGUGAACCUCCAUACUUGACUAGAUUGGUCCUCAGAUGGCAGAUACAAUUUAUCCAAUGGUAGACUAUUGAUGCUCCAUCAGGACUAUAUUUUAUAGCAUUGCAGAUGUCACACUCUUCUAACAAAAUCCCAGAGAAGUGAAGAUUUUCUCUACAGUCUGCUGAAUAAUUG
rnacentral:lncRNA from 1 species